CGUGCUUAACACAUGCAAGUCGAACGGUGAAGCCCAGCUUGCUGGGUGGAUCAGUGGCGAACGGGUGAGUAACACGUGAGCAACCUGCCCCUGACUCUGGGAUAAGCGCUGGAAACGGCGUCUAAUACUGGAUAUGUGACGUGACCGCAUGGUCUGCGUCUGGAAAGAAUUUCGGUUGGGGAUGGGCUCGCGGCCUAUCAGCUUGUUGGUGAGGUAAUGGCUCACCAAGGCGUCGACGGGUAGCCGGCCUGAGAGGGUGACCGGCCACACUGGGACUGAGACACGGCCCAGACUCCUACGGGAGGCAGCAGUGGGGAAUAUUGCACAAUGGGCGCAAGCCUGAUGCAGCAACGCCGCGUGAGGGACGACGGCCUUCGGGUUGUAAACCUCUUUUAGCAGGGAAGAAGCGAAAGUGACGGUACCUGCAGAAAAAGCGCCGGCUAACUACGUGCCAGCAGCCGCGGUAAUACGUAGGGCGCAAGCGUUAUCCGGAAUUAUUGGGCGUAAAGAGCUCGUAGGCGGUUUGUCGCGUCUGCUGUGAAAUCCGGAGGCUCAACCUCCGGCCUGCAGUGGGUACGGGCAGACUAGAGUGCGGUAGGGGAGAUUGGAAUUCCUGGUGUAGCGGUGGAAUGCGCAGAUAUCAGGAGGAACACCGAUGGCGAAGGCAGAUCUCUGGGCCGUAACUGACGCUGAGGAGCGAAAGGGUGGGGAGCAAACAGGCUUAGAUACCCUGGUAGUCCACCCCGUAAACGUUGGGAACUAGUUGUG
rnacentral:rRNA from 1 species